UUUUUUUUUUUUUUUUUUUUAAGGGAUGCACCUAUGGCAUAUGGAAGUUCCUGGGCUAGGGGUUGAACUGGAGCUGCAGUGGCUGGCCUACCCCACAGAAGCAGCCUAUGCACAGCUGCAGCGAUGCCAGAUCCCUAACCCACUGAGUGAGGCCAUGGAUGGAACCUGCAUCCUCAUGGAUACCAUGUUAGAUUUUUAACCCUCUGAGCCAGAGCAGGAACUCUCUCUCGGGCCCUCAUUUACUACAAAUUAAACACUCUACAGGGCCACAAGUCACAACACCCUGCAUGCAUGGGGGAGGGGGUUGCCCAGCUGGACACCUGACAUCCCUGCUGUCAGCCAGAGGCUCCUUCCGUCUCUGGACAAUGAGAGCGUGAGAGCUUGACACCUGAUCCUGGGGCUCCCCCAGGCACACCUGCCUCCCCUGCACCCCCCCCUUCUAAUCUUCAUAGCAGCUUCAGUUUUCCCACAGGGCUUCCGGGGCCCUCCCUACCUUCUGGAGCAGGCAGGCAGCAUGACAGGUGACAAAUCAAAAGUCAUUCUCUCCUGAACAGGUGUGUGCCGGGGCUCAGGGGCAGGGCAGGGAGGCCAAGGUUGGGUGGGAGUUCCUAGAAGCCUCUGGGGCCCAGGAGCAUCUGAUCCCAUGGCUGGAACCCUGUUUUUAGCAGUUAGUCAAGGCUGCCAGAAGCUGUGGCUGAUUUCCUCCCCUGUCCCAAUGCCAAGUUCACUUACCAUGUUAGUUCUUACCAACUUUAGCCACCUACUCCGGGCCAGACUUUAAGGAUUCUCAGAAAAAGACCUGCCAUCCUCUCAGCCCAAGGAUGCAGACCACCCCUACCCUCCACCCCUAUGUUUUCUGUGCCCACUUGGCUGCUGACGGCUGGGCUCCCCAAUCCAUGAUACUAUAAGCCCCAUUGCUCCCCAGCUUUUCAGUCCAUCUGCCUCAAGGCUGGUAAGUUAUCAAUAGCCUCAAGUCCCAUCCCCAAACCCAAUGGGGGUUUAAAAUAAAAUCACCCAGUCACCUCUAAAACCACAGGAAAUGUCCUUGGACCAACUCAGAGGGUUAACUAUUUCUCUGCUUUGUGCCCCCUCAAGAUCAGCAGAGCCAGACUUAUUAAAUAAUAACAGAUUAUUUUAAAAUAAUAAUGAGGGAGUUCUUUUGUGGCACAGCAGGUUAAGAACCCAGUGUUAUCACUGCAGGGGCUUGGGUCACUACUGUGGCAUGGGUUCAGUUCCUGGCCUGAGAACUUCCACAUGAUGCAGGCAGCCAAAAAAAUAAUAAUAAUUUUAAAAUGAUGUUAACAUUAUUUAUGUAAUAAUAGCUCAUUUAAAACUAAUAAUAGUUAUCAUUAGAAGGUAAGCAACAGUACAAACACUACAAAGGCAGGUAAUUUUGUCUAUUUUGUUCACUGAUGUGUUAUGAGAGCCAAGACCAGUGUUUGGCACAUUGCAGUCAUUCAGAAAGUACUUUGAAUAAAGUAUUUACUAGGUGCCAGGCACUAUCCAAGUGCUUUUCAAGUAUUAAUUUAUUUAAUCCUUACAACGUGGUGAGGUGGGUAAUAUUACUCCCAUUUUGCAGACAGGGAAACUGAGGUACAGAGAAACUGACAAUGUCAUACGUCUCAUAAUUUAUGUGCAAGCAGCCUGUUUGCAGGGCCCAGGCUUUUGACCACCACGGUCUACUGUUUCUCUUGACAGCGACAUUGUGGUAUAGAAUGUAUACUAUUUCAUUGAACAUUUUUGGCUUUUUUUUUUUUAGUGCCUCACAGAGGCAUAUGGAAGUUCCCAGGCUAGGGGUUGUACUGGAGCUGUAGCUGCCAGCCUACACCACAGCCAUAGCAACACCAGACCUGAGCCACAUCUGUGACCUGCCGUGGCCCACCACAAUGCCAGAUCCCCAACCCACUGAGCCAGGCCAGGGAUCAAACCCACGUCCCCGUGGACACCAGUUGGGUUCAUUAUCUCUGAGCCACAAUGGUAAUUCCAAACAUUUUUGUUUCACUUCUUUAACAAUAAUUUAUCGAUACCCAGCUCUCCUGUCUUAAACACAGACCAUGAUUGAAAAGUUGGUGGGAUGAAUCAAUAGAGCUUCCUUCAACCUCACUAUCUAUAUGUCAUUCACCAAAUGUUUUGGAAAUGAUUGGGAGUGGAGAGAAGAUGUGGGGAAGGAACCGAGGAGUCAGUGGCUAAAAUACAGACCCCAGAGUCCAAAUGGCUGGGUUUGAAUCUCCAUCUCUUCCCCUUUUUAGCUGUGUGAUCUUGGGCAAGUUGCUCAACCUCUUGUGGCCUCAGUUUCAUCAUCUUUUAAAUGGGGAUAAUAAUAGCCCUGGCCUUCUAGAGCUGUUGUGAGAAUUAAAUGAGAUAAUGCUUGCUCAGUGCUUGGCACAUAGUAAGGGCUCCGUAAAUGGUGGUUAUUACCACUGUUAAUAUGAUAUUGGUGUAACUUCUCCUUGCCCCGUAUCUGAUGUGCAGUCAAAGCCUCUUAUUAGUUCUUCCACUGGCUACACCAGCAGCUUCUUGGCAGGCGCCUGUAGCAGGUGUGACCCAUCCCUCCCCAUCUGUCAGGGUGAAUCCUCCGCCAGUUCCGGUCUGAGCUUAUAACCUGCUUAUUAGGUUAAUUAGACGCGACAUCUUUCCAAAGGCAGCCCUAACAUCUGGUGAAGGCUGCAGCUUGCCAAGAAUUUGUGGAAUGGCAAGUCCUCACCAGCCUUCGGUUGGAGCAGGUGGGUUCCUGUCAUGGCUCAGUGGUUAAUGAAUCCAACUAGGAACCAUGGGGUUGCGGGUUUGAUCCCUGGCCUCACUCAGUGGGUUAAGGAUCUUGCGUUGCUGUGGCUGUGGUGUAGGCCUGCAGCUACAGCUCCAAUUAGACCCCUUGCCCGGGAAUCUCCAUAUGCCACAGGUGCAGCCCUAGAAAAG
rnacentral:lncRNA from 1 species